CGUGCAGGCGGUCUGGUAAGUUGGAUGUGAAAUCUCCUGGCUCAACUGGGAGGGGACGUUCAAUACUGUCAGACUAGAGGGCGGUAGAGGGAGGUGGAAUUCCCGGUGUAGUGGUGAAAUGCGUAGAUAUCGGGAGGAACACCAGUGGCGAAAGCGGCCUCCUGGACCGCACCUGACGCUCAGACGCGAAAGCUAGGGGAGCAAACG
rnacentral:rRNA from 1 species